ACUUUUACUAUUGCUCACAUUCUAUUACAAGGAACUAGAAGGAAGUGGAUAGUUUAACAUAAAACUGUCUUAUAAUGAGUGCUGCCCACAAUGAAAAAGGAUGCUGUCCAUGAAAGAGAGUUUCCCGUCAUCAGAAAUGUUCAAGACUUAAAGCCACUUGCUGGGGAUGAGGUAAAGGCUGACAGGUCUUUUUGCAUUCAGUCUUGCUCAUUCACUCUAUUCUGUAGUCAGAGCCAUCUUUCUAAAAUGUGAAUCUGUUUCUGUCACCGUCUUGCUCGGCACCUUUGAAUGUUCACCAUUGACCUCAGGAUAAAAUCCAGAUACCUUAGAGGGGCAUACAAAGCCCUGAAGACCCUCCUCACCACAUCCAUCACAUUUCUUUCCACUGCCCUUUCCAUUCUUUUUUAUUUUUUUGAGACAGAGUCUCGCUCUGUCACCCAGGCUGGAAUGC
rnacentral:lncRNA from 1 species